CUGCCCCUGCCAAGGGGUGCUGGCCACGCAGGAGGCUUAACCUGGCCGGCGCGGGAAUGGGGUGCAGAGAGCAAAGAAAUGUGGCUUUGAUCUUAUGGAUGCCUUACUUUUACAUUAUUUGUACAGUUCUUGCAGUGAGCUUUCCGGACCACUGUCUUGUAUGUUUCCUAAGAAAAGCAAAAAGGGAAGAGAUUGAAGAGAAAGUAGAUUUUCAACUACAAACUUUCAUCCAUUUGCUUUCAGCUUAAGCAAAUGUGCGCAAAGUUGUCAUGGAUUUUUGCAGUCAAUAAAAACCAAGCAAGAAGACUGAAUCCCAAGUCAUCUGGUAUAAAUGGAAGCAGUUUCUGUGAUAGUUCCACGCGGUCAGAAGGGUCAUCCUGGCUUAGGAGAGGGGCAGAAGAGGAAAUGCAUGCGUGGAAACAGGAGUGGGCAGGGAGGAUGUGACACUGUCCUCCUCACCAGGCCACGUUCCUGGCACCAACCAUAGUGUUUGUGAGGGUCAAUUUAAUUGUUCUUGUGCUCUCAUAGAGGAAGCUGUGUCUUUCAUCCCCUUGUAAGAGUUUUCACUGAUGAAGGGGGUCUUUUAUCUUCAUAUCUUGGGAACUACUGAAACUGUUUCAAAGAGUCAAAGACACCAAUAACUAACAGAAAUUCUUGUUUUCAGGGGCAGAUAAGAAAAGGAACAAUUUGCUGAAACUCCCUCUGCUUGUAACACAACUGACUGAAAUCAGCCGGAAUCAAUAUGGCCAAAUGCAGUUUGCGCACAGCAAGCUUGCUGUUGUCACAGCCUGAAUUUCUACUGCAUGUUUCAUACGAACUCCCUCCAAAUUUGCACAUGGGACCUACCAGGAAGCAUGAAGAGAGAGCCAUGCAUGCCUGAAGACUUCCCAGAUGUUCCCUUUGCUUCCACCAAUCACCUGCUAAUCCCAGGAUCCAACCCUAAACCUUUUGUAAUAAAAUUACUGCCCUAAAGCCAGUACAAGAAGACAGAUUUGAACUGGACUUCUGUUUCCUCAGAAGUUAACUUGCAAUGUGAAGCUUUCCUUUUCUCAAAAACUUGGUGUCAUAGUGUUGGCUUCUAGUGCAGUGAGCCCCUUUUGCUGGAUAACACUACCUGGUAAUUUGACAUACUAGGUGGUUAGUAACUACUGACUGUCUCCAGGUUACAACACAGUUAUUACCUACUUGGGUGAAAAGAGAAGACAGGAAAUACAUUUUGGAGUUGGCUGGCAACCUGUUUACAAAGCGAUUUACAACAGUUCUUUAUUCUUAAGGGGCUAUUCUAAUAUAAGACCUCAGAGAAACAGUGCAGUGUGACAAAGGAGGAAUUUAUCAAAUGAGACAGAAAAAGCAUCAAGGCAAGCUGUGAAAUGGUGCGGUAGGAACCAAAUAGAGAGCCAAAGGAUCUCUCUGUCACUGCAGGCCCUUAGGGGUAAGCAAAUCCUUCCCUGAUCCCUGGUCUCCUUAUCUGUAAAUAAGAAUACUAGCACCCACCUCACUGUGCUGUAAACAUGAUGAGUUCCAAC
rnacentral:lncRNA from 1 species